rnacentral:rRNA from 1 species
CNUUUGAGCUCGGUCUCNNGGGUUUUGNAGAAUUUCAAAGCCUUCGUGUUNGCGGGAUUGGGAUCUCUUGGUGUACUUUUUCGUACGGUUNGUCAACAUCGGUUUUGAAUGUCAUAAAAUGACUGGAGGAAUGUAGCUUCGAUCUCGUAUUGAAGUGUUAUAGCCUUUGGUANAUGUGAUGUUUGAGACCGAGGAUUGCAACGGAUACCCUUCGGGCUAUUCNUCUGAUCUCUGAUACGUUGCCCUGAUGUUNAAANCUUGCUUAUGAUGUUANGGUAUUACGGUCAAAANGUUAAAACGAAUUACNUUCNUUANGGAUGUUGACANA